AAUAAAGGGAAGGGUCACUCUGGCAAAACAAACUACAGCGCAAUACUUUUGGCUCUUUGUGGCAUCCACAUGUGACCGCUGUGGCCACCAUCUCCAAAUGUUAACCAGGUCCACCCAUGGAUGCUCCUGGGACCAGCAGUUCUGUUCCAUCUUCUGAUCCAAGAGAAUGGAAAAUGGAGGAGAAAAGUGAAAGAGAAAUCCUUAUCAAUUUCAAUCACUUUCACUGACUUUUUUGAGCACGUAUCUUAUCAUAGCUUAUCUUUUUUGUUCUUUAAAAAUUCUAGUGGAAUGGUCUUCUUGGGGCCUGGGAAAGAGAAUGACACCUUGUACAAUAUUGCAGGUUCAGAAUCUCUGCACAUUCCUCUUUUAUGAGGGAAAUAAGUAGUUAUUGCUUGUCAUGGACCAGGACUCAUUUGAAUCUGAUUCUGAAGAAGCUGCUCCAGCUGAACCAGUGGAAUGUCAACUUUAAAAGAAAUUAAGACAGAAUCAACUGAGGCUGAUCAAAUACAUGAACCACCAGAACAGUUGGAGAAGUCAGAAGAUGAUGUACAGCAUGUGUGUCAAAUUCGCAACGUCACGUGACGUGUCACAACGUAUUGUGACUUUUCCCCAUUGCUGGCAAUGGGAUGGGAUUGGUUUUGGUGUGACACAUCUGGCCCGUGGGCUGGCAGUUUGACACCCCUGAAUGUACAGUCUUCAAGUCAUCAAGCGCAAUGAGCAAGAGUGGAAGAGUAAAGGCACUUAAUGUAGCACUUUAUCAGGCAAGGAACUGACUACCUUAACUGAAGUUAAAUGGUUGCAGAUUCAUUUAAGAGGGAAUCCUGACCCACAUUUUUCUCUUGGAAGAAACUGUCUGCUUUCUUUUGUUUGGUGUAUCGUUCCUGUAUAUUCUGCUUGGACAAGAAACCUUUAAACUCUGACUUUUCAACAGGUUCAUUAAUCUGGUUUGAUUCUUUCCAUUUUGGAUUGCAUUUUGAUUACUCUUCUGCAUAUUCCUGUGGAAAGUGAAAUUACUUGGGCAAAGUUUAUCUGCAAGAGACUCUGAUUUGUGCUCUUUUGUUUGUUUGUCAUUUAUCUACUCAGCUUUGAAUAAACUGCUACCAUCAUCUUGCCAACUCUACGUCAUACCUCUCCCCAUUUCAUCAACACGUGGUUAGCAAAAGAAUUAAGGGAUCUUGUCUCUAAAGAAUUUAGAAAUAAAUGGUUAAAAUAAAUGUACAAUAUUCAACUGCAAAGAAUUCUUCAAUCUAAUCUCCUUUCCCCUUUUCAAUUUGUUUAAUGAGGUUGUAAACUUUAGUUUUCAUGGCUAUAAGGCACUGAGAGGACUUGUCAUUUGACUUGUCAAUUCUUCCUUGACAAUGAAAACUGGUUUUUCUGUGUUGCAGCUCACCCACUGGAAACAGCUAAACCAGUUUGUUCAUGUGUGCCUUUGAGGUAGUUUUUGACUCUCAGUGGCUGUUUGCACUAGUCCCUGCAGAUUUCGUGAUAAGAUUUUUCAGAAGUGGUUUGUCAUUGUCUUCUUCCUAUAGAUGAAGAAGACUGACUGGCCCAAGGUCACCCAGCUAAUUUCGUGUCUAGACUAGAACUCAGCCUCCUUGUUUCUCACCUGAUGUCUUAGCUAUUAAACUAUCUCUAAACCAGUUGCCAGUAUCUUAUAUAUACCCCGUCAACUAAUAAUGAUGAAUUUACAAAUGUUAUUAUUCAGAUGUUGCUCAACUUAGUCAACAAGAGCAACUGAUGGGGACAUCAGGAUUCAUCUUUUGUUGUUCCUACUUCGCGGUCCAUGCUAUUUCACUCCCCAGGAUCAUUAUCAGACAGGGAGGAAGGAUCUCCAGACUUUUUAAAGCCUUUCAACAUUCAAUUGAAUUAUACUUUUCGUUGAAACCUAUUGAGUUUUUCACAGGUUGUAUUUGAGUGACAUUUAUUCUUGGAUUCUUCAUACUUAUAAAAUAAGCAGUUCCUAUAAUAAGCACCAAUGAACCCAUGAUUAAAGUACAAAAGGCGUCCCAAACUAUACAUAUAUUUUAUGUAGAGGUUUAAGCAAUGCUUUAUAAAUUUGUGCCAGAACAACUGAUAAUUCAAAAAUUUAUACCAAGGAACAUGCAGUAGUUCAUUAUAGAGUUUCAAAUGUAUUCCAGGGAUGAAUUGCCUUUAGAUGAUCAUUUCUGUGUUUAAUGAACUGAGAAAUGAGCUCAUUCACCAAGACAUCACAGAUAAUUUAGCUGAAUUAUUUCAAUGGUGUGUAACUAUAGUAAGUUGGAGCAGCUGAGAUGCAUGGUGGGUGGGUGGGAAGAGAUUUUAUAUCUCCUGUGCUCAUUCUCUUUUCCCACCAAUUUUGUAUGAUUUCUAUGGUUGAACCUCUGAAGCUUUCUUAGUUACAAACUACCAAAGAUGUUCCCUUGAUUAAUUUAUUUGUGUUUUAAACUGCUUUAGAUAUAUAAUUCUUGCAGAUUAUUGUAUAGUAAUAAAAGCAUUCACAGUGCAACAAUAAACAAAAAUUGUGAAUAUCAUGCAUAAUUAUAGUUUAUGCCUGUAGCCAGUGCUUUUUUUC